CGCACAAACAUAUACCAACAAGUAAACAAAACAUUUGACCAUCCUAGUAGAUGUGAUCGAACAGUAAACCAUUUAUGUACCGAAAGGGAAACUAAACAAGCAACAAACAGCAAAGAUUAACCCUUGUACCUUUCGCAUCAUGGUCUAGCAAGAAACCAAAGACAAGAAGAAUCAAAGUCUCUCCCCCGAAACCAGAUGAGCUACUUUCAAGCAGCCUAGCGGGCGCACCCUUCUCUGUAGCAAAAGAGUGGGAAGACUUAAAAGUAGAAGUGAAACGCCUACCGAAUCUGGAGAUAGCUGGCUACCCAAAAAAGAAUAUAAGUUCAACCACAGAACCACCAAGAAUCUAUUCUUUCCUGUGGAAAAUCAAUAGGGGUACAGCCCUAUUGAAACAGGAUACAACCUGAAUUUGAGAGGAAAAUCCCCCCUGCCCCCAGUAGGCCCUAAAGCAGCCACCUAACAAAAUAUCGUUAAAGAAUUACACGACUUAAACCCUACACUAAUCAAAAACUCCAAACCAACUAAGGGUAAACCCAUUAUAAUGGGUCCUACUAUGCUAGAACUAAUAAUAAGACAACAUCUCUUCAUGCACCUUUCUGCUAAAACCGGACCAACCACUAGCCAUUAACAGACCACAUUAGGAAUAAACUAAACACUGCACAACUUUAAACAAACUGUUACCCCAACACAGGCGCAUCAAAAAGAAAGAUUUACCAUUAUAAAAGGAACUCGGCAAACAAAGACUUCAACUGUUUAACAAAAACAUAACCUUUAGACUAACCAAUAUUAAAGGCAACGCCUGCCCAGUGAACAUUAAACGGCCGCGGUACCCUAACCGUGCAAAGGUAGCAUAAUCAUUUGUCUACUAAUUAUAGACCUGUAUGAAAGGCAAAAUGAAAGUCUGACUGUCUCUUAUAAUAAACCAAUUAAACUGAUCUCCUAGUAAAAAAGCUAGAAUUAAACCAUAAGACCAGAAGACCCUGUGAAGCUUAAACUACACUAUUAAACCCAGUAAUAACUACUUUCGGUUGGGGCGACCUUGGAAAAAAAAAGAACUUCCAACAAUACGACCUACCUCGUACCACUCACACAGGCCCACAAGCCAACUAAUGACCCAGCAAAGCUGAUAAUUGAACCAAGUUACUCCAGGGAUAACAGCGCAAUCCUCUUCAAGAGCCCAUAUCAAAAAGAGGGUUUACGACCUCGAUGUUGGAUCAGGACAUCCUAAUGGUGCAGACGCUAUUAAGGGUUCGUUUGUUCAACGAUCAACAGUCCUACGUGAUCU
rnacentral:rRNA from 1 species